CCUACGGGAGGCAGCAGUGGGGAAUAUUGGACAAUGGGGGAAACCCUGAUCCAGCGACGCCGCGUGAGUGAAGAAGUAUUUCGGUACGUAAAGCUCUAUCAGCAGGAAAGAAAAUGACGGUACCUGACUAAGAAGCCCCGGCUAACUACGUGCCAGCAGCCGCGGUAAUACGUAGGGGGCAAGCGUUAUCCGGAUUUACUGGGUGUAAAGGGAGCGUAGACGGCAGCGCAAGUCUGGUGUGAAAGCCCGGGGCCCAACCCCGGGACUGCACUGGAAACUGCCGGGCUGGAGUGCCGGAGGGGGAA
rnacentral:rRNA from 1 species